rnacentral:rRNA from 1 species
CUACGUAGGGUGCAAGCGUUAAUCGGAAUUACUGGGCGUAAAGCGUGCGCAGGCGGUUAUGUAAGACAGAUGUGAAAUCCCCGGGCUCAACCUGGGAACUGCAUUUGUGACUGCAUGGCUAGAGUACGGUAGAGGGGGAUGGAAUUCCGCGUGUAGCAGUGAAAUGCGUAGAUAUGCGGAGGAACACCGAUGGCGAAGGCAAUCCCCUGGACCUGUACUGACGCUCAUGCACGAAAGCGUGGGGAGCAAACAGGAUUAGAAACCCUAGUAGUCC